UAAUACUCCAUAGUUCGUUAUUACUGGAAUGUUUUUCGAACGAAAGAUCCGUCGCUUCAGGAUGAGUCUGCGGCCGAUUAGGUAGUCGUUGGGGUAAUUGCCCAACAAGCCUGUAAUCGGUACGGGUUGUGGGAGCAAGAGCCCGGAGAUGGAUUCUGAGACACGAAUCCAGGCCCUACGGGGCGCAGCAGGCGCGAAAACUUUACCAUGCGGGCAACCGUGAUAAGGAAACCCCGAGUGCCAGCACAGGCUGGCUGUCCGCCAGUUUAAACAACUGGCGAAGAAAGGGCCGGGCAAGACCGGUGCCAGCCGCCGCGGUAAUACCGGCGGCUCGAGUGGUGGCCGCUAUUACUGGGCUUAAAGGGUCCGUAGCUUGAUAAUAGGGUCCCUUGAGAAAUCCGCCGGCUUAACUGGCGGGCGUUCAGGGGAAACUUGUUUUCUAGGGACCGGGAGAGGUGAGGGGUACUGCCGGGGUAGGAGUGAAAUCCUGUAAUCCCGGUGGGACCACCUAUGGCGAAGGCAUCUCACCAGAACGGGUCCGACAGUGAGGGACGAAAGCUGGGGGAGCAAACCGGAUUAGAUACCCGGGUAGUCCCAGCUGUAAACUAUGUGCGUUAGGUGUGU
rnacentral:rRNA from 1 species